CCUACGGGAGGCUGCAGUCGAGAAUCAUUCACAAUGGGCGAAACCCUGAUGGUGCGACGCCGCGUGGGGGAAUGAAGUUCUUCGGAUUGUAAACCCCUGUCAUGUGGGAGCAAAUUAAAAAGAUAGUACGACAAGAGGAUGAGACGGCUAACUUUGUGCCAGCAGCCGCGGUAAUACAGAGGUCUCAAGCGGUUUUCGGGAUCACUGGGCGUAAACGGUGCGUAGGCUGUUUCGUAAGUUGUUUGGGAAAGGCGCGGGCUCAAACCGCGGCCCGCACAUGAUACUGGGAAACUAGAGUAAUAGAGGGGGAAACGGAAUUCUUGGUGUAGCAGUGGAAUGCGUAGAUA
rnacentral:rRNA from 1 species